CAGCAGCCGCGGGAAUACGGAGGGUGCAAGCGUUAAUCGGAAUUACUGGGCGUAAAGCGUGCGCAGGCGGUUCGGAAAGAGAGAUGUGAAAUCCCAGGGCUUAACCUUGGAACUGCAUUUUUAACUACCGGACUAGAGUGUGUCAGAGGGAGGUGGAAUUCCGCGUGUAGCAGUGAAAUGCGUAGAGAUGCGGAGGAACACCGAUGGCGAAGGCAGCCUCCUGUGAUAACACUGACACUGAGACACGAUAGCGUGGGGAGCAAACAGGAUUAGAUACCCCGGUAGUCCCUGUCUCUUAUAC
rnacentral:rRNA from 1 species